AGAAGAGGAAGGAUGUUAGAACUGGAAGUGGGCUGGAAUUAGACGAUCUUUAAGGGCUCUUCUAACUCAAAUCAUCCUGGGAUUGAUUCCAUGAUGCCUUGGACAGAAAAGCCUCAACCCUGUAACCUUCUGCUCACCCACCUAGAUGCCUAAAUCUCAGCUGUUAACAAACUUCUGCUUUCCAGCUGGUACCUCCACAGUCCACCCACUUCCUCCUGAAAGGAUUGUGAAGGCCCAUUCCCAAAACAUCUCAGUGAUAUAAGGUGAAAAUGCCAAAGUGUUCAUCCUUCUUCUAUGGCUGGUCCCCAGAGGGAAAAAUAUUCCACUCCUUGACUUACCACCAUGAUAACUCCAAAGAACCCCAUUUUCUGCCUUUAUUGAGAAAAUUUGAAAAUCAACAUGCAAAGGAAGCACAGACCUCUAAGCAGUUAUUUUGACCCAAUGUGGUAUGAUGGGAGGAGAUCAGAAAUGGGGCUGUGUUUUCCUCAGCGAGUCCAUUUUGAUGGCAGACCUGAGAGCUGAAAGCAACUUUUCAAAAUGGCAAGUGAGGUGCUCUACGCCGUGGUGUCACCCAAGGAAAGAGUGAAUUUUGUUUCAGAAGCUUCAGACACAGGUGAUGCAGUCACAUAUGCUGAGGUGAAUAUGAAAUGGACAUCUGAUAGCCCUGACAGCACACCCAAAAUUACACGUUCAGUGCCCUGCUCGGAGAGCUCCCUCUGGUUCUACCUUGUCUUCGCCCUGCUCUUCUGUUCGGUGGUUCUGCUCAUCACGGUCAUCCUGCUGGCGGUGAAAUGCUACAGCCGCUGACCCUGCUGCCACAGCGGAUAAGUCAGCACGGGAAGGUUCUGAUUCUUCUAUGGAACAGGACACAGUGGCUGUUUUAUUUGACAUUAUUUUGGCUGAAGAGACAAAAUGAAGACGUGUCAUCAGUCUGAUCACUCUCCAGUUAUGUCAUCCCAGAUCUCUGUAAAACUUCUAAUCUCUCCAUAUGUGGACAAGCAUAUAUUAAUUUUAUUUGGAAUUUUCUUAAUCCUGUAAUACCAACAACCAUCCAGCUAUAUCAGUGCAUGUAUCAAGACAUGGGCUCAAGCUCCUGCAUCAAAAGGUGGAUUUGGGCCUUAUUUAGACAACAAAAAUGACCAGGUGGACAAAUACUUUUAAUUCACAUCUGACUUGAUUCUGCACUGAUGUGCAACACAGAAAAGCUUUUGGAUUGCAUGCAACUGCAAAAACUCACAGACAAAACAGGGAAUGUGAAACGUUGCAAUGAGCUUUUUUUAUAAAGCCUGGGCUUGGACUUGAUUUUUCUUCUUCUGACAGCCUUUAGUUGGAUUUGUAUGAAAAGGAUAUUGAAUGUUCAAGAAAUGUUGUUAGUAGAGAAGUCUCAGUUUCACCUUCUCAUUGGCUUGAAUUAAAUUGUUCUGUUCCAGUUGUCCAGAAGAGCAUCUCACAAUAUAUUGUUUCUGUCUUGGGGCAGUAAUUGAUUUUUGUAUUUGUUUGGGUUUGGUUUUUCCCCACAUGCCAUAGCUUCAGUUAAAACUGAGUCCUCCACUGGAACUGAGGCAUUGAAGUUCAAAUACAUUUAUUUGUAAUUAUGACCUUAUUGUCUGUUUUCAUAUUAUUUCUGGAUCUUAUCCAUUUUAACUUCUUUGUGGCAGGCUGCAGAAGAUUUGCAGACUCUGACUAGGAGGAGUCUAUAUAGCAAAUAUUUCUGGAAUAUUUCUUGUAUCUAAUCUUACCUGUAAUUUAGCUGUUGCUGCAGUUGGCAAUGUACCCUAUCUUAUCUUAAUAAUACAUAAAUGCACAGAAGUCAAUAAAGG
ensembl:lncRNA